UGUCUAAGUAUAAGCAAUUUAUACAGUGAAACUGCGAAUGGCUCAUUAAAUCAGUUAUCGUUUAUUUGAUAGUACCUUUACUACUUGGAUAACCGUGGUAAUUCUAGAGCUAAUACAUGCUAAAAAUCCCGACUGUUUGGAAGGGAUGUAUUUAUUAGAUAAAAAAUCAAUGCUCUUUGAGCUCUUUGAUGAUUCAUAAUAACUUUUCGAAUCGCAUGGCCUUGUGCUGGCGAUGGUUCAUUCAAAUUUCUGCCCUAUCAACUUUCGAUGGUAGGAUAGUGGCCUACCAUGGUUUCAACGGGUAACGGGGAAUAAGGGUUCGAUUCCGGAGAGGGAGCCUGAGAAACGGCUACCACAUCCAAGGAAGGCAGCAGGCGCGCAAAUUACCCAAUCCCGACACGGGGAGGUAGUGACAAUACAUAACGAUACAGGGCCCUUUCGGGUCUUGUAAUUGGAAUGAGUACAAUGUAAAUACCUUAACGAGGAACAAUUGGAGGGCAAGUCUGGUGCCAGCAGCCGCGGUAAUUCCAGCUCCAAUAGCGUAUAUUAAAGUUGUUGCAGUUAAAAAGCUCGUAGUUGAACUUUGGGCUUGGUUGGCCGGUCCGCCUUUUUGGCGAGUACUGGACCCAACCGAGCCUUUCCUUCUGGCUAACCAUUCGCCCUUGUGGUGUUUGGCGAACCAGGACUUUUACUUUGAAAAAAUUAGAGUGUUCAAAGCAGCCUUUGCUCGAAUAUAUUAGCAUGGAAAUAAUAGAAUAGACGUUAUGGUUCUAUUUUGUUGGUUUCUAGGACCAUCGUAAUGAUUAAUAGGGACGGUCGGGGGCAUCAGUAUUCAGUUGUCAGAGUGAAAUUCUUAGAUUUACUGAA
rnacentral:rRNA from 1 species